UUUAUUCUGCCUUGUUCGAUAAAGCAUGUUAAUAUAAUCCAACAUAUCUUUAUAGGGAAUCGUGCUCCGGGUGCGGAUUGCAGACCUCCUGCGAAAGCGGACGAAGGGAGCGUGAAACAUCAGGGACGGUACCCACCUGCUUGUAAGCGGGUUUUAUGUUCAUGUGGCGGCAAGGCGGAGAAUAU
rnacentral:other from 1 species